rnacentral:lncRNA from 1 species
UUGAGAAAUGCAAGCUUGCAAGUUUUACUUAGCAUGCUAGGAAGUUUACUUUCAUUUUCAAUGCACAAGCUAGCAAAACCUACUCCCCCUUUAUCAAAGUAAAAAAGAAAGGGAGGACUCAAUGGCUAAAUAUUUCAACCGUUCGACAAGCCAAAUAUAUAAAGAAUUCAUGAAAGAUAUCAAUAAUGAUCAAUUCAUGAAUACCAAAGAUAUGAUUCACGAUUCAUUAAAAUUGUUCUUAACAAGUUCAUGAUUCGGUUGAAACAAAGUUUCAUUCAAGUUAAUUCAUUAACUCAAAAAAAAUCAUAAUCAAAUUAUCAUUUUUGAGAUUCAUAACAUGAAUAACGUUAUUACCAUUUCAUCAAAAUCAAUUUCGAGAUUCACACAAUAUCAUGAAAUCAUUAAUCUCGCUAAGAUGGGAAAAAC